GUUGACGUGGCCUAGUGGUUAAGGCGAUGGACUACGAAUUUUUUGGGAUCUUCCCUCGCAGGUCCGAAUCCUGCCGACGUCG
rnacentral:tRNA from 1 species